UUUUUUUUUUUUUUUUUUUUUUUUUUUUUUUUUUUUUUUUUUUUUUUUUUUUUUUUUUUUUUUUUUUUUUACAAUGUACCACCAACGAAGGAGUGUCAGAGACGG
rnacentral:ribozyme from 13 species